rnacentral:rRNA from 1 species
GCAGCGAUGCCGCGUGAGUGAAGAAGGCCCUUGGGUUGUAAAGCUCUUUCGUCGGGGAAGAAAAUGACUGUACCCGAAUAAGAAGGUCCGGCUAACUUCGUGCCAGCAGCCGCGGUAAUACGAAGGGACCUAGCGUAGUUCGGAAUUACUGGGCUUAAAGAGCACGUAGGUGGUUAAAAAAGUUGGUGGUGAAAUCCCAGAGCUUAACUCUGGAACUGCCAUCAAAACUUUUUAGCUAGAGUAUGAUAGAGGAAAGUAGAAUUUCUAGUGUAGAGGUGAAAUUCGUAUAUAUUAGAAAGAAUACCGAUUGCGAAGGCAGCUUUCUGGAUCAUUACUGACACUGAGGUGCGAAAGCAUGGGUAGCGAAAAGGAUUAGAUACCCUCGUAGUCCAUGCCGUAAACGAUGUGUGCUAGACGUUGG